rnacentral:tRNA from 1 species
GCCCAGGUGCUGAAAUUGGUAGACAGGCAUGGUUGAGGGCCAUGUGUCCGUUAGGGCGUGCGGGUUCGAGUCCCGCCCUGGGCAC